GACGAACGCUGGCGGCGUGCUUAACACAUGCAAGUCGAACGAUGAAGCUAGAGCUUGCUCUGGUGAAUUAGUGGCGAACGGGUGAGUAACACGUGAGUAACCUGCCCCGAACUCUGGGAUAACUGCUGGAAAUGGUAGCUAAUACUGGAUACGACCUACGAAGGCAUCUUCUGUAGGUGGAAAGAAUUUCGGUUCGGGAUGGACUCGCGGCCUAUCAGCUUGUUGGUGAGGUAAUGGCUCACCAAGGCGACGACGGGUAGCCGGCCUGAGAGGGUGACCGGCCACACUGGGACUGAGACACGGCCCAGACUCCUACGGGAGGCAGCAGUGGGGAAUAUUGCACAAUGGGCGCAAGCCUGAUGCAGCAACGCCGCGUGAGGGAUGACGGCCUUCGGUGUAACUCUUUAGUA
rnacentral:rRNA from 1 species